rnacentral:lncRNA from 1 species
UUUUUUUUCGUUUUCUUUUUUUCCUUUUUCUCUUAAAUAAAAUAAAAAAAUGAAUGGAUCGAACCCUAUGUAGGUUGUCCACGUAUCAUGUCCCUCAUGAAUCAGACCAAGCGUAGUUCUUGAAAAGUAAUGGAUAAUUAAACUUAAAAAAAUAAAAGUCUUUUUGGAUUAUUCAUUUACAACAUUUUUUUUGAUUUUCUAAACAAAAACAAGAAAUAAUGAGAGACUCAACUCAACUAUACUACAACAAACUCCGAUACCAACUAAAAGAAUCAUUGCUACUGGACAUAAUUAUAAAGUACAAGACAACAUAAAAAAGAAACAGACUCAAAAUAUAAAAAAUUUCUCCUUAAGCAACUCCUGAAUGCAACGGUCCUGGGGUGUUUGUCAUGCUCAAACUCCGGUAAGUAGAUUCACACCUGUAUAAGAAAAUGAAAGCCAAAUAAAGUUAAGGAUUUAGAACACUAUGUGAGACAAUAACACUCCUUGUUUGACACAUGCAAGACAUGAUUGUGCAAAAUAGCCUACGUGGCCAAAAAGUGGCUAAAAGUGCAAACUCAAAAAAGGUGACCUCUAAGACAUGGAAAAAUUACUUUUGUAGAAAUGACCGAUUUUGUAGAAAUGGCCAAUGUGGCCAAAAAAUGGCUAAGCAUGCAAAUUCAAUACAAUGAGCCUUAAACAUAGAGGACACCUUGUUGUGGACCUAGGACUCUAAGACAUGGUUUAAUUGAACCACUUUUACGAAAAUAGCCCUAUUUUGCAAAACGGCCUAUGUGGCCAAAAGCGACAGGCAUGCAAAUUUUGGCUAAGACCCUGUGAAGCCAAGGACCUAAGACUCACUAACAAACUGAACCCUAUGUGGGUUGCCUGCGUAUCACGCUCCGAAAAACGAGAAUCAAGUAUGCGUAGUUCGGGCAGAUUGGAUACAGGCGAGAAUUAAAAAAAACAACAAACUAAUUCAAAGAAAAAUAUGUUUUUUUGUCUCUUUUUUUUUUUGAAAAAUGAUGAAACAUGUAAACUCUUUUUUUUGGAUUUUCUUUUCAUUUUUUUUAUUUUUGAUUUUCAAAAAAUGAUAAAAAAGGUGCAAAAUCUUUUUUUUUUUUGAAUUUUUCAUUUUUUUCUUGUUCUUAAUAAAAAUGUGACAGAAACCCCUACUUGCUUUAUUUUUCACACUUUAUCCUCUUUUUUUUUUUCAUUUUCCCUCAACUAUCAUUGGUCAGCCAAAUGACCCUUUUGCCCUGGAAAAUCGCAACAUGUAGCACAUAGGAUGCGUUAGGAUGGUCUUUUAUUUUUUAGGUACAUCUGUCCUAGACGGACCCAACCCCUGUGUUGAGUCCAUAAAAUCAAAUGUAUAUGACGCAAACAAGCAUUCCUACUAGGGAUCCGACAUGAGGCUAAGUUAUUCUAAGUUCAAAACCUGUGUAUGUUGUUCUAGACUUGUGUACCCGAGCAGAUGACUCGAGCCGGGAGGGGAUACAUAACCGGGAACCAAAAGGCCAUCCGGCUUUGUAACUUGUCCGAGCCUCUUCCUAAUUUAAGGUAUGACACUAACAGAAGAGGAGUCACGCCAGCGUGCACAAGAUGAGAAGAGAAGGGUUUCGUAGCAUUUUAUAUACAGUUCAAGUAGUAUCAAAGCGGUAAAAAGCAACAUUUAGCACGUUAGGCCCAAACAUGUAAUUAAAACCAGAUAAUAAAUAAAUCCAAAUAUAACAAUUAUUCUAAGCUCGAAUGAACCAGAGAUUCUGGGUUCUAUCCCCAGUAGAGUCGCCAGAGCUGUCACAUAUCCUUUUUCUACCCCGAGGGAUAUAAGGGAGUUUUUUCCAGUUUAAGUAACAAUAGAAACGGGAUUUAUUUAUAUUAAAAUCAGAGUCGCCACUUGGGAUAAUUUAUGGUGUCUUAAGUCACCGGCUUAAAUCCCGAAUUGAGGAAAGAUUGACUCUAUUUUACAGUCCGCGAAUAUAGGAAUCCGGGUAAGGAAUUCUAUUAACCCGGGAGAAGGUGUUAGGCAUUCCUGGAUUCUGUGGUUUUAGCACGGUCGCUCAACUGUUAUUAUUGGACUAAUUAUCUUAUUUUUUUACACGUUUUAAUCCUAUUGUGCAUUUUUUUAACCUUUUAGCCGCUUUUAAUUAUUUCGGUAAAAUUUAAGGUUAUUUAAAAUACAUUGUAAGCCACACUACAUGAAAUGCACCCACGGUUCACGACACGUUCUAUUCAUCCUUGUUGGAAAUUAGAACCGGGUCACAUGAAAUGUACCCCCGGAUUUGGAAAUUGUGUAUCACAACUACAUCACGGAAACUGUACCCGUAGUCACGAUAAUUUAUUCAAUCGCACCUAAAACAAACUACGAAUAUUCAUAAUUUAUUCAACUUUUAAACCCAAACCCCCACGGUCCAAUGUCUAAAACACGUACUAACAGCAAAAGCAUCCAAUCAAUUUAUAUCUUGCUUUAUCAAACAUCUAAACAAAAGCUUUCUUAUCAAAAACAUCAGUCAAAUUAGUGUGUUUCUGCAUGUAAAGAACAAUUUAUCUGUCUAUAUCGACGAUGUUUCCGACCAACUUAUUAUCAGUCCAAAAAGGGCCUAAGAUUCUGCAUUUAAUGUGACCUCAACAUAAGCAUAUUAAUAGCGCAUCAAAAUACAUGGCAUGACUAUUAAAAAUAAACAUAUAAGAGAAAUCAACAAAUAACUCAAAUAUUCAUGACUCAAAUUCUGAAAAUAGGAAGAAGGAUGAAGUUUAAAGUGUGACCUCUAAUGAACAUCAACUUUGAACUAAGAACGGAACCAUCGAAUGGACCUCGACAAAGAACCAAUGAAAACAGUCAUCGAAACUCAGUCGAAAAACUCGAGACUCACCGGACAAGGAUGCCAAACAAACUUUUGGACUUUUUAUUGUUUUCAACUUUGUUUUUGUUUUCUUUACUGUUUUCGGCCUCUGUUUCUCCUGUUUUCGAACUGCAGAUCGUCGCCGGUAUUAGAGAAUGACGAGUCGUCGGCUGGUUGUUGCCAGUGGCUGGUGGAAUCGUGACAGUUGCGUGAAGAAGAGGGGGAGCUGGUAGGUCAACUUGUUAAUGUCGCGGAAGUUUAGGGGUGUUCUUUUAGGUUGAGAUAAAAGAGCAGCAGUGGCAGUUUGGCUGAGGAGAUGGAGGGGUCGUCUGAAGGCUAGAGGUGGUCGUUGUGGUUGUGCAGCGGUGGGGUUGGGCAUUGCUACAUGGUACAAGGGUGAGAGACGGUGAAGGUGACAAAUAUCUUCCUCCUGCUUUUGUUCUGAGGCUGCUAGCUUUUGGUGUUAAGUUGUCUAGGUUUGUUUUGUGAAGAAGAAGAUGAAAUGUCGUGGGGGGGAGUCCUAGAUCUAUUGCGGUGGAUCUCAACAGGGUAGGGAUCUAGGGUCUAGAGUCUAAGGUCAGUUUUUGCUCCUUAGGGUCUUAGGCUCUUUUCAGAUUUUGGCCCCUUCUUUUGUUGUAUUUUCGACUCUUUUUAUUAGAUUUUAGGCGUUAGUCUAGGAUUUGGGUAAUGGGGGUUUUGGGCUUUUGAGUUAAUGGGCUAAGAGAUUGGUUUAAUUGGGCUACAAGCAAG